rnacentral:tRNA from 1 species
GGCGACGUGGCCAAGUGGUAAGGCAAGGGUCUGCAAAACCCUGACCACGGGUUCGAAUCCCGUCGUCGCCUCCU